UCAUUGGAAACUGGGAGACUUGAGUACAGAAGAGGAGAGUGGAAUUCCACGUGUAGCGGUGAAAUGCGUAGAUAUGUGGAGGAACACCAGUGGCGAAGGCGACUCUCUGGUCUGUAACUGACGCUGAGGCGCGAAAGCGUGGGGAGCAAACAGGAUUAGAUACCCUGGUAGUCCACGCCGUAAACGAUGAGUGCUAGGUGUUAGGGGUUUCGAUGCCCUUAGUGCCGAAGUUAACACAUUAAGCACUCCGCCUGGGGAGUACGACCGCAAGGUUGAAACUCAAAGGAAUUGACGGGGGCCCGCACAAGCAGUGGAGCAUGUGGUUUAAUUCGAAGCAACGCGAAGAACCUUACCAGGUCUUGACAUCCUUUGACAACCCUAGAGAUAGGGCUUUCCCCUUCGGGGGACAAAGUGACAGGUGGUGCAUGGUUGUCGUCAGCUCGUGUCGUGAGAUGUUGGGUUAAGUCCCGCAACGAGCGCAACCCUUGAUCUUAGUUGCCAGCAUUUAGUUGGGCACUCUAAGGUGACUGCCGGUGACAAACCGGAGGAAGGUGGGGACGACGUCAAAUCAUCAUGCCCCUUAUGACCUGGGCUACACACGUGCUACAAUGGAUGGUACAAAGAGCAGCAAAACCGCGAGGUCGAGCCAAUCUCAUAAAGCCAUUCUCAGUUCGGAUUGUAGGCUGCAACUCGCCUACAUGAAGCCGGAAUUGCUAGUAAUCGCGGAUCAGCAUGCCGCGGUGAAUACGUUCCCGGGCCUUGUACACACCGCCCGUCACACCACGAGAGUUUGUAACACCCGAAGUCGGUGGGGUAACCCUUUUGGGAGCUAGCCGC
rnacentral:rRNA from 2 species